rnacentral:rRNA from 1 species
UACGUAGGCAGCGAGCGUUGUUCGGAGUUACUGGGCGUAAAGCGUGCGUAGGCGGUGUUCCAAGUCUGUUGUGAAAUCUCCCGGCUUAACUGGGAGGGUGCGGCGGAAACUGGGACGCUGGAGUGCGGGAGAGGUAAGCGGAAUUCCUGGUGUAGCGGUGAAAUGCGUAGAGAUCAGCAGGAACACCCGUGGCGAAGGCGGCCCCCUGGGCCGUACCUGACGCUGAGGCGCGAAGGCUAGGGGAGCGAACGGG